CCUACGGGUGGCAGCAGUGGGGGAUAUUGCACAAUGGGGGGAACCCUGAUGCAGCGACGCCGCGUGGGGGAAGAAGGGCCUCGGCGUGUAAAGCCCUUUCAGCAGGGAAGAAAAUGACGGUACCUGAAGAAGAAGCCCCGGCUAACUACGUGCCAGCAGCCGCGGGAAUACGUAGGGGGCAAGCGUUAUCCGGAUUUACUGGGUGUAAAGGGGGCGCAGACGGCGAUGCAAGCCAGGAGUGAAAGCCCGGGGCCCAACCCCGGGACUGCACUUGGAACUGCGUGGCUGGAGUGCAGGAGGGGCAGGCGGAAUUCCUGGUGUAGCGGUGAAAUGCGUAGAUAUCAGGAGGAACACCAGUGGCGAAGGCGGCCUGCUGGACUGCAACUGACGUUGAGGCCCGAAAGCGUGGGGAGCAAACAGGAUUAGAUACCCCGGUAGUC
rnacentral:rRNA from 1 species